rnacentral:rRNA from 1 species
UACGGAGGGUGCAAACGUUGCUCGGAAUCAUUGGGCGUAAAGCGCACGUAGGCGGUCUGCUAUGUCGGGUGUGAAAUCCCUCGGCUUAACCGAGGAAGUGCAUUCGAAACUGGCAGACUUGAAUACUCAAGAGGGUCUCGGAAUUCCCGGUGUAGAGGUGAAAUUCGUAGAUAUCGGGAGGAACACCAAUGCGAGGACGAGCUCACGGU